rnacentral:tRNA from 1 species
GCCUCAGUAGUGUAAUGGAAUGAGCAUAGCAGACCUGGUAUCUGUAAGCGUGGGUUCGAGUCCUGCCUGAGGUU